UCUUGAUCUCAUGUCAUAUUUAGGAAGAUUGUUCUCCAUGAUUAUAAAGCAUGUCAUGGUGUCCAUGACUUUGUUUUGCAUUUGGAUAAAAGAAUGAGGUGAGUAUUUUGUACAGAAAUAUUUUGUGCAGAAUCUCAUUUACCAAUACUGUUAAGCCACUGACAUGAAAUAUCACCUUUAUUAUAUAUUUUAUGUGUUUAUCUGUUGUGAGUGUACAUGUGUGUAUGUUGAGAAAUACGUUUCAAGCCUUAAAAAAGUCUUAGGAUUUUGUUAGGUACCAGGCAUCUAUAGAUUAAUUUGGGGCCUACUAACAUCUGUAUAAUACUGAGUCUUUUAUAGAAGGAUAAAAUGUCUGUUCUUUUCCUCCAUUAAACUUUACUCAUUUUCUUUGUAUUUAUGUUCACAAGAGAAUUGGUUACUGCAUUGACUGCAUACUCAAAGCCUUCAGGAGUCAGGAAGUAAUAUAAAGUGUAAAACAAGUCAGAUAUAAGGGAAAAGGUAGUGGUUUGAACUGUGGAGAACUGGGAAACACAAGCCCAUCUAAAGUUUUGGAAUUACGACUUAGUAGCUUAACAACUUCUCUAUUUAAAUGAUAUGGGCUUAAUACAAUUAAUUCAUCUACCUGGAAUUAGGAGAGGAGGUCCUAGCUAUUGCAAUAAGUCAAGAAAAAGAAGGCAUAUAAAGAUCAGAAAGGAAGAAAUAAAAAUGUAUUUGCAGAUACCAUGACUGUUCACGCAGAAAAUCCUCAGGAAUCUACAAAACUACAAGAAAAACUGCUAAAUGAAUCUAACAAGGUCAUAAGAUGUAAAGUUAAUAUAAAAAUCUAA